rnacentral:rRNA from 1 species
UACGGAGGGGGCUAGCGUUGUUCGGAAUUACUGGGCGUAAAGCGCACGUAGGCGGCUUUGCAAGUUAGAGGUGAAAGCCCGGGGCUCAACUCCGGAAUUGCCUUUAAAACUGCAUCGCUAGAAUUGUGGAGAGGUAAGUGGAAUUCCGAGUGUAGAGGUGAAAUUCGUAGAUAUUCGGAAAGAACACCAGUGGCGAAGGCGACUUACUGGACACAUAUUGACGCUGAGGUGCGAAAGCGUGGGGAGCAAACAGG